rnacentral:rRNA from 1 species
AUUGAACGCUGGCGGCAGGCCUAACACAUGCAAGUCGAACGAGUGGCGGACGGGUGCGUAAUGUCUGGGAAACUGCCUGAUGGAGGGGGAUAAAUACUGGAAACGGUAGCUAAUACCGCAUACCAUCGGAUGUGCCCAGAUGGGAUUAGCUAGUAGGUGGGGUAAAGGCUCACCUAGGCGACGAUCCCUCGCUGGUCUGAGUGUAUGCCCGUCCACACGGGAAGUGAUACACGGUCCAGACUCCUACGGUAGGCAUUAGGGGGCAAGAUUGCAACAGGGGCGCAGGCCUGAUGCAGCAGUGCCGCGUGUAUGAGGAAGGCCUUCGGUUUUGAAAGUACUUUCAGCGGGGAGGCGUUACCCGAAGAAGAAGCACCGGCUAACUCCGUGCCAGCAGCCGCGGUAAUUC